rnacentral:rRNA from 1 species
GACGAACGCUGGCGGCGUGCUUAACACAUGCAAGUCGAACGGAAAGGCCCUGCUUUUGUGGGGUGCUCGGGUGGCGAACGGGUGAGUAACAAGUGAGUAACCUGCCCUUGACUUUGGGAUAACUUCAGGAAACUGGGGCUAAUACCGGAUAGGAGCUCCUGCUGCAUGGUGGGGGUUGGAAAGUUUCGGCGGUUGGGGAUGGACUCGCGGCUUAUCAGCUUGUUGGUGGGGUAGUGGCUUACCAAGGCUUUGACGGGUAGCCGGCCUGAGAGGGUGACCGGCCACAUUGGGACUGAGAUACGGCCCAGACUCCUACGGGAGGCAGCAGUGGGGAAUAUUGCACAAUGGGCGGAAGCCUGAUGCAGCAACGCCGCGUGCGGGAUGACGGCCUUCGGGUUGUAAACCGCUUUCGCCUGUGACGAAGCGUGAGUGACGGUAAUGGGUAAAGAAGCACCGGCUAACUACGUG